rnacentral:rRNA from 1 species
ACUGGGAGGACCAUCUUCCAAGGCUAAGUACUACUGAUCGACCGAUAGUGAACUAGUACCGCGAGGGAAAGGUAGAAAAGAACCCCGGUUAGGGGAGUGAAAUAGUACCUGAAACCGUGUGCCUACAAGCAGUGGGAGCGCUAUGCCCGUAAGGGAAGGCGUCACCACGUACCUUUUGCAUAAUGGGCCUGCGAGUUACCGUGUGUGGCAAGGUUAAGCCGGAAGGUGUAGCCGAAGCGAAAGCGAGUCCUAACAGGGCGUCAAGUCGCGCGCGGUAGACCCGAAACCUUAGCGAUCUAUCCAUGUCCAGGUUGAAGAGCGGGUAACACCGCUUGGAGGACCGAACUCACCACAGUUGAAAAUGUGGGGGAUGAGGUGUGGAUAGGAGUGAAAAGGCUAAUCAAGCUGGGAUAUAGCUGGUUCUCCCCGAAAUAUAUUGAGGUAUAGCCUCGGACGAAUUGCGGCGGAGGUAGAGCACUGAAUGGGCUAGGGGGUCCUACCAGAUUACCAAACCCAAUCAAACUCCGAAUGCCGCUGACAAGUAUCCGGGAG